rnacentral:rRNA from 1 species
GCAGAGCACUCCUCGGGAGGCAGGCAGUGGGGAAUAGUUGCACAAUGGGCGCAAGCCUGAUGCAGCCAUGCCGCGUGUAUGAAGAAGGCCUUCGGGUUGUAAAGUACUUUCAGCAGUGAGGAAGGUGGAUAUGUUAAUAGCAUAUUCAUUUUCGACGUUAGCUGCAGAAGAAGCACCGGCUAACUCCGUGCCAGCAGCCGCGGUAAUACGGAGGGUGCGAGCGUUAAUCGGAAUUACUGGGCGUAAAGCGCAUGCAGGUGGUUUGUUAAGUCAGAUGUGAAAGCCCCGGGGCUCAACCUCGGAAUUGCAUUUGAAACUGGCAAACUAGAGUACUGUAGAGGGGGUAGAAUUUCAGGUGUAGCGGUGAAAUGCGUAGAGAUCUGAAGGAAUACCGGGUGGCGAAGGCGGCCCCCUGGACAGAUACUGACACUCAGAUGCGAAAGCGUGGGGAGCAAACAGGAUUAGAUACCCUGGUAG